rnacentral:rRNA from 1 species
AAACAGACCCGCGAACAUGUUUUAACACUAGGGAUCGCUGCGUGGGGCAACCCCGUUGUGUGUCCUCCACCCGUGUGGGCAACGCCUGCUGCGGGCUAACAAAAACUCAAGCGCGGCAUGCGCCAAGGAAAACUCAUAGGACCGCCCGCCCCCAUCGCCCCGUGGGCGGUUAGCGAGGGGGGUGGUGCGUGCCUCGAAUGUCUAAAUGACUCUCGGCAACGGAUAUCUCGGCUCUCGCAUCGAUGAAGAACGUAGCGAAAUGCGAUACUUGGUGUGAAUUGCAGAAUCCCGUGAACCAUCGAGUCUUUGAACGCAAGUUGCGCCCGAAGCCUCACGGUYRAGGGCACGCCUGCCUGGGCGUCACGCAUCUUGGUGUCCCCCGCCCUCCCCAACAGGAGGCGAUCGGUUGGGACGGAUAUUGGCCUCCCGUGGGCAUACCCCGCGGCCGGCUCAAAUGAAAUCACGUGGCGCCUGCCGUCACGACAAGCGUUGGUUGAGCACUCCACUCUCUAGCUGUCGUGUUGGUCGGAGCACCUCGUAUUGACGGACCCAACSGUGCGACUUGAUUGUGCCUACGUACGCGACCCCAGGUCAGGCGAGACCACCCGCUGAGU